rnacentral:rRNA from 1 species
UACGUAGGGUGCAAGCGUUGUCCGGAAUUAUUGGGCGUAAAGAGCUCGUAGGCGGUCUGUCGCGUCGGCUGUGAAAACUCGGGGCUCAACCCCGAGCCUGCAGUCGAUACUGGCAGACUAGAGUGCGGUAGGGGAGACUGGAAUUCCUGGUGUAGCGGUGAAAUGCGCAGAUAUCAGGAGGAACACCGGUGGCGAAGGCGGGUCUCUGGGCCGUAACUGACACUGAGGGACGAAAGCUAGGGGAGCGAAAGGG